rnacentral:lncRNA from 1 species
GGGAGAAGGUGUGACGUUUCUUGGUCAUAGGAGGGAGUGUGAUCUGACACCAGAGGACUUAAUAUAACAUUGCAGUGUUAACAUCUUCACUGGCAGAUUCAUGGACUUUCCCCCUCCUGAAUGCAUUUCAACACCUUGAAAUGAACGAUGCCUCAUGUCUCUGCAGGGUGGACAUAGCUCUAACUCUCUGAAGCUGAGUUGGACAGGUGAAACAUCCACAGUCUUUCUUGACCUGAAUCAAGCUCAGAGUGACAGUGUUUAAGAUUAUAUGUCAAGUUCUGUGUGAAAUGAGAGACCAUGGGGAUUCAUUAUUGCUGGAGUUGACGGUAUUGCAGUUUUAUAACCAUCUAAUAAAUUAGCAUUUAAUACUGAGAGAUUUCAUCUUAAACUCAGAGGAUUGCUUUGUUUUAAAGAAGAUUUUUGCAAGGAGAAGCAAUGGAAACCAUUCAGAAAAUGUGGGAGAUAAAAAUCCUAUUCAAGAAAACGGAUCUUGGAUCUUUGCAUUCACUUGAUUUGUCAGAAUAUUAUUCUGUGCUAAAAAAUAGAAGGGAUUAAAUGUUAAAAAUCACUGAGGCACAA